AUUGAACGCUGGCGGCAGGCUUAACACAUGCAAGUCGAGCGAGCGGCGGACGGGUGAGUAAUGUCUGGGAAACUGCCUGAUGGAGGGGGAUAACUACUGGAAACGGUAGCUAAUACCGCAUACCAUCAGAUGUGCCCAGAUGGGAUUAGCUAGUAGGUGGGGUAACGGCUUACCUAGGCGACGAUCCCUAGCUGGUCUGAGAGGAUGAUCAGCCACACGGGGACUGAGACACGGCCCAGCCUCCUACGGGAGGCAGCAGUGGGGAAUAUUGCACAAUGGGCGCAAGCCUGAUGCAGCCAUGCCGCGUGUAUGAAGAAGGCCUUAGGGUUGUAAAGUACUUUCAGUGGGGAGGCGUUACCGGCAGAAGAAGCACCGGCUAACUCCGUGCCAGCAGCCGCGGUAAUAC
rnacentral:rRNA from 1 species